GUCGACAGGAUUUACAAUGGCAGCGGUGUAGUCAACGAUAUUCAAGCAGCUCGUUUGCGGACGAUCGCAGCCGCAGCAUUAGACGGUUGAUAAUCCUCGGCCGAGGAUCCCGAUGUCCGACAGUGUCCGUGUCUCGACCUUGUGCAAACCACGAACGGUUCGUCGUUGUGACGUCACGCGGAAUCAGAUCGGUAUGGCGGCUUCCGCCGCACACAUCUGCAGGGAUAUCCUAUAACCGGUAAAUCUGACGCCGACGAACGGCACUACGAUGUAGAACAUCUGUUACCUCGGCCCUGCGGAAUGUUUGCGAGCGAGCAAAGCGCGCCCGUAAAAGGACCAGAUUACGAACACGCUUCGUCUAUAUAUUUCACAGAUCGUAUCAAAUUAUUUUCUUCCACCGCGCGAUUUACAUCUCAUCGAGUCCGGCGAUGGAGGGUGGGUGCCUGAUCCGCCUGUCUCCGUGCGCGUACGUUACCAGUGUAUAUAUACCCUUUCGGAGCCCCACGAGGAUAACUCCACGGAUGUUCCUCCGGCAACCCCCUCGGCCAUCUUUAUUCCGGAACGGACAGGUCGAGAGGGUAGGCAUCGGACCGUGGUAACUGGCAGCCCUAGAGGGAGCCGUUAAACCUCGUCCCAGAACAGCGUAUCUACCCACCUACCCACGUUCUUCAUCUGAUAUACGGCCUUGUACGACUCGACUCGACCAGUCCGCUGAUUUCGACGCGAACUUCGGGCGCGGAGCAAGCUUGUUUCCCUCGCCGAAAACGAGUGAAAAGUCCAAUGAGAGACAAAGGUCGGUUAGGUAGAGAAGAGAAAGAUUCAACGUGCACUUCGUCGAAGGGGGGAGGUACCACUCUUCCGUUUUCCACCAAGAAUCCACCAGCACACAACCGGAGAAAUCGGACCCUCCGCGAGCGCGAUAUAU